UUUCCCUUGACUGUUGUUGAUUGCUUUCACUGUUUCCCAUUCAAUAAAACUGUUUUUCCCUUGUGAGAAUUCAUAAACUUGUUGUGAUGAUUGACUCUAAGAUAGUAUCUAGGUUACUUGAUACCAAGAAACCUAACAACAUCUUUCUCCCAUCAUACAUCUUUUUACUGUUUACCCCCUAGUUUUUGUCCUUGCUUAAAGUUUCCUCCUUAUGUUGGUCAAAUCUCGUAUGCAGCUCAUGGCUUGGUUGUGAUCUGUUAUUGUUUCAAAUAUUUAACUUGAUCAAUGAUUGAUCUAGUGAUAUGAUUUCUAUUAUAAGAUUGUUCAAGACUAAAUUUUAUGAUUCUCCGUGCCAAAGAAACAAUCGUAUGGUACAGAACCAGAACCAACUAUGGCAAUCAUUGGCCAGAACAUUGAUUCUAAUGAUGCCAUGUACAUUUUGGAGAAUACUUGCAUAGUUACGGUGUUGGACUCCAACUUAAAUGACUUCAUGACUUGGUUCUACUUCUAGACUCUACGGGAUGAAGAGGAGGAGUAGGAAGAAAACUGAUACUGUAAAUUCUGUCUUGAAAUUGACCAAAGAAAGUGGGAGCUGGAUUCAAUAUAGGUUAUCCAUGUAUUACUGCCAAAAUGGACAACCGUAAAAUGGUAUGGUGGGCAAAAUCUUUGGUUGCUGCUACUACUGCCCCCAAACAAGACCCAUUUUACUUGUGAAUUGGGUUCAGGUCGUCUUAAGGCUCAAGCAGGCUUUCACACUAAGAGUUACCAAGAACUGCACAAAUUCACCAUGUGAGUUUCCCAUCAGGAGGUUUAUGAAACAUGUGAUGAUUCUUUUGCACUGGUUGAUGCUCUUCUACCGAUUGCUAUAACCUGCUGGAAGAUUAUCCAUCAUUGUGCAUGGAAAUGGUGACAACAAGUGUUGAAUGAGAAAGCAAAUGAUAUCUGAUACUAGGAUGUUUUGUCCUGACAAGUUGUAUGUUUUGCAUUGGCAUGGCACGCAGAAUGGCUUAAAAAUACAGCAACCAAUUCUUACCUUGUUAGCUGAGGUCAGCUAUAUGGAUCAAUUGACACCGUGAAACUUUGUGAAAAACUAAACUAUCAAUAAAAAUCACUUUUAGCAAGGUCAUUCUUAGUAGUUUCUUGUAAUAUUUUCUUUGCUUUUUCAUUCCAUUUAAUUGGGUUAUCUUCCAUUUG